rnacentral:rRNA from 1 species
GACGAACGCUGGCGGCGUGCCUAAUACAUGCAAGUAGAACGCACAGUUUAUACCGUAGCUUGCUACACCAUAGACUGUGAGUUGCGAACGGGUGAGUAACGCGUAGGUAACCUGCCUGGUAGCGGGGGAUAACUAUUGGAAACGACAGCUAAUACCGCAUAAUAUUGAUUAUUGCAUGAUAAUUGAUUGAAAGAUGCUAUUGCAUCACUACCAGAUGGACCUGCGUUGUAUUAGCUAGUAGGUGAGGUAACGGCUCACCUAGGCGACGAUACAUAGCCGACCUGAGAGGGUGAUCGGCCACACUGGGACUGAGACACGGCCCAGACUCCUACGGGAGGCAGCAGUAGGGAAUCUUCGGCAAUGGACGAAAGUCUGACCGAGCAACGCCGCGUGAGUGAAGAAGGUUUUCGGAUCGUAAAGCUCUGUUGUAAGAGAAGAACGGGUGUGAGAGUGGAAAGUUCACACUGUGACGGUAUCUUACCAGAAAGGGACGGCUAACUACGUG